AAUUCCGUAGCUCAGCUGGGAGAGCACUACCUUGACAGGGUAGGGGUCGCUGGUUCAAGUCCAGUUGGGAUCA
rnacentral:tRNA from 2 species